rnacentral:rRNA from 1 species
UACGAAGGGGGCUAGCGUUGCUCGGAAUUACUGGGCGUAAAGCGCACGUAGGCGGCUUUCUAAGUCGGGGGUGAAAUCCUGGAGCUCAACUCCAGAACUGCCUUCGAUACUGGAGAGCUCGAGUCCGGGAGAGGUGAGUGGAACUGCGAGUGUAGAGGUGAAAUUCGUAGAUAUUCGCAAGAACACCAGUGGCGAAAGGCGGCUCACUGGCCCGGUACUGACGCUGAGGCACGAAAGCGUGGGGAGCAAACAGGG